rnacentral:rRNA from 1 species
UACGGAGGAUCCGAGCGUUAUCCGGAUUUAUUGGGUUUAAAGGGUGCGUAGGCGGCACUUUAAGUCAGGGGUGAAAGACGGCAGCUUAACUGUCGCAGUGCCUUUGAUACUGAAGUGCUAGAAUGCGGUUGAAGACGGCGGAAUGAGACAAGUAGCGGUGAAAUGCAUAGAUAUGUCUCAGAACACCGAUUGCGAAGGCAGCUGUCUAAGCCGUUAUUGACGCUGAUGCACGAAAGCGUGGGGAUCGAACAGG